AUUGAACGCUGGCGGUAGGCCUAACACAUGCAAGUCGAGCGGAUGAAGCGAGCUUGCUGCUGGAUGCAGCGGCGGACGGGUGAGAAAUGCCUAGGAAUCUGCCUGGUAGUGGGGGAUAACGUCCGGAAACGGGCGCUAAUACCGCAUACGUCCUGAGGGAGCAAGUGGGGGAUCUUCGGACCUCUCGCUAUCAGAUGAGCCUAGGUCGGAUUAGCUAGUUGGUGGGGUAAAGGCCUACCAAGGCGACGAUCCGUAACUGGUCUGAGAGGAAGAUCAGUCACACUGGAAAUGAGACACGGUCCAGACGCCUACGGGAGGCAGCCGUGGGGAAUAUUGGACGAUGGGGGAAAGCCUGAUCCAGCCAUGCCGCGUGUGUGAAGAAGGUAUUCGGAUUGUGAAGCGCUUUAAGUUGGGAGGAAGGGCAGUAAGUUAAUGCCUUGCUGUUUUGACGUUACCAACAGAAUAAGCACCGGCUAACUUCGUG
rnacentral:rRNA from 1 species